CCUCCAGGGGAAGGUUUCAAACCACCCGCCUCCCGCUGAGGGGAGGGCCCUGCGGGCGGCCCCUCCGCAGCUGCUGGGGGCCAGGCGCAUCCACCGCCCCCCUCAGGGGAGCGGUAUAGCCCGAGUAUAUUUACAUAAGGAGAGGCCAGGGUAGAAGCGAGGGGAGGAGAGGAAAAAUGGUUUCUAGGCACAGCGGGGUGACUCCGGGCUGAGGUGAAGGAUGGGCAGAAGCCCCUGCGGGCUGAGGAGCGUGGCACACACCUAAAAGCCCCCAAAAAGCGUAAACGUGAGAUAGGGGAGAGUUGAAAUCCUGUGUGCCGGAGAAGAGGUCGCCCCACAUGUACAAGGGGAACUCCCGCACAACCCGAAACAAAAGUGCUAAAGCUCCGAGAGCUGAGGGACACGGAAACUGAACGGGGACCUCCUUGGCCUCGGCUCUUUCAUAACAGCAGGAACGCGGCGAUGCGGUAACGCGGCGAUUAGGCAACGUUUUGUGAAGGGAAAGAAAGAAAAAGGGUUCGGUAAUCCGGCGUGAAUAAAACCCGAAAGAACCAACUAAACCCUACCUGGAUCUCAUGAAUGCGGCCGAAACCGUCCUUCCAGAAGAACUCAUAGAGAUUGUAGAGGGUGUUGGGUCCGGGCAUUUCGUGUAAGCUCUUCACCCUGCCCAGCUGCGGGUUGGGCUCCAGCAGCUCCCCCGGCCGAGCCGCUUUGUUCCCCGCUCCGCUCCGCACCUCCAGGGACUGACCGCCCGACAGCCCGGCCGCCUGCUGAAACCUGCUGGCAAAAAGCGUGUGCUGGAAGUGUCAACGGUUUAUCAGGAUCCAGAACUGCAUUGCACUUUGUUGGCUGCUGCUAAACAAUGCAGUGUUACACCAGAAUACUCCUACAGGGAUACAGGCAGCAUCUCGGAAAGCUGUAUAAACUGGAGAUCCAUACAAAUCACGUGGGAAGGAGAACCGAGUCAAGAAUGUGAAAGGCAAGCACCUAAUAUUUCUUUAGACAGUUCUCCUGCUGUACUUCUGCAGCAUUUCCCAUACUUACAAACCGUUAGGUUACUUUGCGAGCACCCUUUCAGGCGUGUGCCUUUAUUAAAGGCUCUUGCUCUGCGGAGCACUGCACACUGCGAGCAACAUUCCAGAGGCAUCAUUACAGCUAAUCUCUGUCCAGACAGAUUUAAAACAUGAUGAAAGAGACCACGGGUGUUGGAAUUCAUCCAGAACUACCAGCUCUGCUGUGAGAUGCACACUAAGCCACAACAACGUGGCCAUUAAACUAGAGUGAAAAGCAAUCACUAAUUUCGGAAAGCGCAGAAAGAUUUGUUAGCAGUUGUGCUGAGUACUGUCAAAAUUCAAUAGAUGUGAAAUCAUACAGUCAAAAUGCCCCGCAGCUUCCAGUAAUCAACACAUCAUUUGAGCUUGUCGCAGAAAGCACAAGGCCAGCUCCUAUGCUUAUUUUCCCCAAGGAGCUGCUGUAUGACUUGAUCCUCACAAACAUUCUCCCUGGUCAUCCCUUCCCAAGCCACUCAAACACAUUGAGGUUUAACCCCUCAGUCAACUCUAGUCACAAUAAUUGUAUAGACAUUUAGGGCAGACGAUCCUGAAAGAUCCCCAGUGCACAUCUGAAAAGAUUCCUGACAGAGAGACAGGAGAAGCUACAGUCCAUUAUAGAAAUAGCUCUGAAAAGAUUUCUAAAGGCUCCCUAGUUUUGCCAAGUGGCUUUCAGUAAUAAAUCAAUAAAUGGAGAAAGUCAGAUGAAAACCCCUCUGAGCCAAGUGCUAAACAGAGAUUCUUUUCAAACAGUUCUACAGUGGAAUUAAUGUUCCAGUGCCUAUAAAAUCCAUUCAAAGAGUAGUUUCCUGAGCUCCUCUCAUGUGAGAAUUGUAGUUGAAGUAUUACAACUAAUGUCUAGAGGUUACUAAGAUCUGUAAGAUCACAAGUUGAUUUUCCAGGAAGGAGGAAAGCAACAGCAUCAUCGUUAGCACUGAACACUUACUUCCCAAGUCUGAUGGCGUACUCCUUCAGUGCAAACACAUUGUCAGCAAAAACAAUGAUUUUAUCAUUCCGUCUCUCGUGAAACUUAAUCAGGAACUGGCAAGCUCGAAACUUAUUUGGGUUCAUGGUGUACAGCAGUAUCCGCUUCUUUGUUUUGAUGGCUACGUAUUCUCUGUAAAAUUCAGGUGACAUUGGGCACCAAACCUAGAAUUAGACAAUUUACACAGAGUAAAUCCCAGUUAUCCACUUAAUUCCACUGGAAAUUAAAUCUAUAUUAAAAAAUUAAAGCUAUAAGCAUGUUAAAUAUACACCAGUAGUACUGAAAAGCAGAACAUCACCUCAGCACAUUGGACUUUAGCAAUGUAGCCACUGUUCUGCAGCUCCAUCCAGUUGGCCUCAUAGAGCUUUGGUCCAAUCAGGAAGUUCAGAUCAACAAUUUUAUCAUCUUCUCUGACCAGGGUGGCAGUCAGUCCCAGCUUACAAUGAGCUUGUACAAUAGUGAGCACACGUCUGAACAUUUUUGCUGAGAAACACAAGACACACUUUCUGUUUACUUUCCCGAACGGGUUUAGAAUACAAGCACUGCAAUCUUACAAGUUAAAAAAAUCAAUCAUUAACUCCUAAACACAAAGCAAGAAUGGUCUUAGGAAUUAUCACCCCAUUUUACAUACACUUCUAACAGUAUUCUGUGUCACGGCAAAACUUCACAUUGAUGUCAGCUUUAGUUUGCACCUUUAAUGUACUCUAAAAAACCCUUUUGCAUUUGUAUUACUUCCUGCUUCCCAAGAAGAAAAGUAAUAGAGAGAGACUUAUCUUAGCCAUGUUGUAUUUCAUCAAAAGAUGCUAACACAAGAACUCUUGGCUGACUUUGCCACAUUCAGGACUAAUAUUAAUUUCUAACAUUUAUCUUUUGUAUUGUUUCAAAUCCUGUUACCUUAAUUUUUAUGAAAUGAAUAAAAGUGAAAGAGCUGCACCAGCAA